UACAGAGGUCUCAAGCGUUGUUCGGAUUCAUUGGGCGUAAAGGGUGCGUAGGCGGCGCGGUAAGUCGGGUAUGAAAUCUCGGAGCUUAACUCGAAACUGCAUUCGAUACUGCCGUGCUUGAGGACUGGAGAGGAGACUGGAAUUUACGGUGUAGCGGUGAAAUGCGUAGAUAUCGUAAGGAAGACCAGUGGCGAAGGCGGGUCUCUGGACAGUUCCUGACGCUGAGGCACGAAGGCCAGGGGAGCAAACGGG
rnacentral:rRNA from 1 species